CCUACGGGUGGCAGCAGUGAGGAAUAUUGGUCAAUGGGCGGAAGCCUGAACCAGCCAAGUAGCGUGCAGGAUGACGGCCCUACGGGUUGUAAACUGCUUUUAUACGGGAAUAACGCGCCUUACGUGUAGGGCUUUGCAUGUACCGUAUGAAUAAGGACCGGCUAAUUCCGUGCCAGCAGCCGCGGUAAUACGGAAGGUCCGGGCGUUAUCCGGAUUGAUUGGGUUUAAAGGGAUCGUAGGCCGCAUGUCAAGCGUGCUGUGAAAUGUCCGGGCUCAACCCGGGCCUUGCAGCGGGUAAUGGCGUGCUUGAGUCCGCGGAAGGCAGGCGGAAUUCGACGUGUAGCGGUGAAAUGCUUAGAUAUAGCGAAGAACCCCGAUUGCGAAGGCAGCUUGCUGCAGCGGAACUGACGCUGAUGCUCGAAAGCGCGGGUAUCGAACAGGAUUAGAUACCCCAGUAGUC
rnacentral:rRNA from 1 species